rnacentral:rRNA from 1 species
AACGAACGCUGGCGGCAUGCCUAACACAUGCAAGUCGAACGAGACCUUCGGGUCUAGUGGCGCACGGGUGCGUAACGCGUGGGAACCUGCCCUUAGGUUCGGAAUAACUCCCCGAAAGGGGUGCUAAUACCGGAUAAUGUCUUCGGACCAAAGAUUUAUCGCCUUUGGAUGGGCCCGCGUUGGAUUAGCUAGUUGGUAGGGUAAAAGCCUACCAAGGCGACGAUCCAUAGCUGGUCUGAGAGGAUGAUCAGCCACACUGGGACUGAGACCCGGCCCAGACUCCUACGGGAGGCAGCAGUGGGGAAUAGUGGAAAAUGGGCGAAAGCAUGAUGCAGCAAUGCCGCGUGAGUGAUGAAGGCCGUAGGGUUGUAAAGCUCUUUUACCCGGGAUGAUAAUGACAGUACCGGGAGAAUAAGCGCCGGCUAACUCCGUG